rnacentral:rRNA from 1 species
AGCGAACGCUGGCGGCAGGCUUAACACAUGCAAGUCGAGCGGGCACUUUCGGGUGUCAGCGGCGGACGGGUGAGUAACGCGUGGGAACGUGCCCUCUGGUUCGGAAUAACUCAGGGAAACUUGAGCUAAUACCGGAUACGCCCUUUUGGGGAAAGGCUUGCUGCCGGAGGAUCGGCCCGCGUCUGAUUAGCUAGUUGGUGAGGUAACGGCUCACCAAGGCGACGAUCAGUAGCUGGUCUGAGAGGAUGAUCAGCCACACUGGGACUGAGACGCGGCCCAGACUCCUACGGGAGGCAGCAGUGGGGAAUAUUGGACAAUGGGCGCAAGCCUGAUCCAGCCAUGCCACGUGAGUGAUGAAGGCCUUAGGGUUGUAAAGCUCUUUUAUCCGGGACGAUAAUGACGGUACCGGAGGAAUAAGCCCCGGCUAACUUCGUG